rnacentral:rRNA from 1 species
GACAGAGGGUGCAAACGUUGUUCGGAAUUACUGGGCGUAAAGCGCGUGUAGGCUGCUCAGAAAGUCGGAUGUGAAAGCCCUGGGCUUAACCUAGGAAGUGCAUUCGAAACUUCUGAGCUGGAGUUCUGGAGAGGAAGGCGGAAUGCUUGGUGUAGAGGUGAAAUUCGUAGAUAUCAAGCGGAACACCGGUGGCGAAGGCGGCGACCUGGGUAGAUACUGACGCUGAGGCGCGAAAGCCAGGGGAGCGAACGGG